rnacentral:rRNA from 1 species
UUGAGCGCUGGCGGCGUGCCUAACACAUGCAAGUCGAGCGGCAGCGCGGGAGCAAUCCUGGCGGCGAGCGGCGGACGGGUGAGUAAUGCUUGGGAAUCUGCCUGUUAGUGGGGGACAACCCGGGGAAACUCGGGCUAAUACCGCAUACGCACUACGGUGGAAAGCCGGGGACCGCAAGGCCUGGCGCUAACAGAUGAGCCCAAGUCGGAUUAGCUAGUUGGUAGGGUAACGGCCUACCAAGGCGACGAUCCGUAACUGGUCUGAGAGGACGACCAGUCACACCGGAACUGAGACACGGUCCGGACUCCUACGGGAGGCAGCAGUGGGGAAUAUUGGACAAUGGGGGAAACCCUGAUCCAGCGACGCCGCGUGGGUGAAGAAGGCCUGCGGGUUGUAAAGCCCUUUCAGUGGGGAAGAAAAGCCUCGACCUAACACGUCGGGGUCUUGACGUAACCCAUAGAAGAAGCACCGGCUAACUCUGUGCCAGCCGCCGCAGUAAC